UUGACAUACUAAGAACUUUCCAGAGAUGGAUUGGUGCCUUCGGGAACUUAGAUACAGGUGCUGCAUGGCUGUCGUCAGCUCGUGUCGUGAGAUGUUGGGUUAAGUCCCGCAACGAGCGCAACCCUUUUUCCUUAUUUGCCAGCGGGUCAUGCCGGGAACUUUAAGGAUACUGCCAGUGACAAACUGGAGGAAGGCGGGGACGACGUCAAGUCAUCAUGGCCCUUACGGCCAGGGCUACACACGUGCUACAAUGGUCGGUACAAAGGGUUGCUACCUCGCGAGAGGAUGCUAAUCUCAAAAAGCCGAUCGUAGUCCGGAUCGCAGUCUGCAACUCGACUGCGUGAAGUCGGAAUCGCUAGUAAUCGCGGAUCAGAAUGCCGCGGUGAAUACGUUCCCGGGCCUUGUACACACCGCCCGUCACACCAUGGGAGUUUGUUGCACCAGAAGUAGGUAGUCUAACCGCAAGGAGGACGCUUACCACGGUGUGGCCGAUGACUGGGGUGAAGUCGUAACAAGGUAAGCGUAGAUGA
rnacentral:rRNA from 1 species